rnacentral:lncRNA from 13 species
CUUACAAGGCUCAUGGCAGGUAUGUAAAGAGUGCUUGCUCCAGUCUCCAUUAAAUCACUUUAAAUGAGAUAAUGUUUGAAGUAGAUUGGAACUGAAUAAUUAUCAACAUGGAUGGCAUCAUGCAGUGCCACAAGCUUGAAAAUUUCUGAACUUGGAGUGACAUGAUGAUACAUUUACAGUAUGUAAGAUUAUAAUAGCAAAGACCUGGAACCAACCCAAAUACCCAUCAAUGAUAGACUGGAAAAUGAAAAUGUGGCACAUAUACAACAUGGAAUACUAUGCAGCCAUAAAAAAUGGAUUACUAAUUAUUUUCUGAAGACAUGAAGAAUUAUUGUAAAUGAAGCAUUACUGUGUGGCUUUUGCUCUGAGUGGGAAAGACAUUGGUGUACCAGCACUGGGCAGCACAGCUGCAGAGGCACAGUGAUACUGAGUAACCUGGCAAACUUCCUUUUAAGUGCAUCAAGUGGAGGCCUAGACAGCAAGGGCACAAUUUAAAUAGAGUCUUCCUGAUGCAACACCUUUCAGACUCUGAAAAAGGCCCUUUUUUGGAGGCGUGACACUCAUAUUAGAUAAGGCAAUCAUAACUAUAAACAAGGCAUACUCCAGAGGACUGACAAUGCUUUUAAGAAAUCCAAUUACAUGCUCUUAUUUGGUCUUAGUACAAACAGAAAAAUAAAAAGCCAACUUAUUUCA